UUCUAACAGAAAUAAUUGUUAGUAAAUCCUGCUCAAUGAUUCGUUAAAUAGCCGCAAUAACUUGUGCUAAGGUAGCAUAAUAAUUUGCCUAUUAAUUGUAGGCCAGAAUGAAAGGAUUAACAUAAGAAAUUCUUUAUUCAUUAAAUAAAUUUAACUUCAUUUAUAAGUAAAAAAGCUUAUAUUUUUUAGAAGGACGACAAGACCCUGUCGAACUUCACUAAAGUUUUACUGGGGCGGUAAAAAAACUAACACUUAUUUUCCAUUUACAAAAUAUAAACAUAAUGUUAAUUCUAAACAAGUUACCGCAGGGAUAACAGCAUAAUUUUUUCCUAAAGAUCUUAUUAAAGAAAAAGAUUGUGACCUCGAUGUUGAAUAAUUUAUCUUAUUGGGGCAGCACCUAAACAAGUAAGUCUGUUCGACUUUUAAAAAAUUACA
rnacentral:rRNA from 1 species